rnacentral:rRNA from 1 species
CAAUAGCGUAUAUUAAAGUUGUUGCAGUUAAAAAGCUCGUAGUUGGAUUUCUGGUCGGAAGCUCCUGUCCUCUGAUGAGCGUACAAGUGCGUCCUACCAUCCUUCUGUUAACCUUUAAGGUUUUCGCGGCUUUCUAGGGGCUCAGAUAUUUUACCUUGAGAAAAUUAGAGUGUUUCAGGCAGGCUAGCGCCGGAAUACAUUAGCAUGGAAUAAUGGAAUAGGACUUUUGCCUCUUCUGUUGGUCAUGAGGCUCGAGUAAUGAUUAAUAGGGAUAGUUGGGGGCAUUAGUACUUAACUGUCAGAGGUGAAAUUCUCGGAUUUGUUAAAGACUAACUUAUGCGAAAGCAUUUGCCAAGGAUGUUUUCAUUAA